rnacentral:ncRNA from 1 species
GUACCAAAUAAUUAAUGCUCUGUAAUCAUUUAAAAGUAUUUUGAACGGACCUCUGUUUGACACGUCUGAAUAACUAAAAAGCAAAAAUUUGCCACCUAAGUGGCUUUUUUU